AUUGAACGCUGGCGGCAGGCCUAACACAUGCAAGUCGAACGAGUGGCGGACGGGUGAGUAAUGUCUGGGAAACUGCCUGAUGGAGGGGGAUAACUACUGGAAACGGUAGCUAAUACCGCAUACAAUCGUCUGUGCCCAGAUGGGAUUAGCUAGUAGGGGGGGUAACGGCUCACCGAGGCGACGAUCCCUAGCUGGUCUGAGAGUAAGACCAGCCACACUGGAACUGGGACACGGUCCAGACUCCUACGGGAGGCCGCAGUAGGGAAUAUUGCACAAUGGGGGCAAGCCUGAUGCAGCAAUGCCGCGUGUAUGAAGAAGGCCUUCGGGUUGUAAAGUACUUUCAGCGGGGAGGCGUUACCCGCAGAAGAAGCACCGGCUAACUCCGUGCCAGCCGCCGCGGUAAUAC
rnacentral:rRNA from 1 species